AUUGAACGCUGGCGGCAUGCUUUACACAUGCAAGUCGAACGGUAACAGGCCGCAAGGUGCUGACGAGUGGCGAACGGGUGAGUAGUGUAUCGGAACGUGCCCAGUCGUGGGGGAUAACGCAGCGAAAGCUGCGCUAAUACCGCAUACGAUCUAUGGAUGAAAGCGGGGGACCGUAAGGCCUCGCGCGAUUGGAGCGGCCGAUAUCAGAUUAGGUAGUUGGUGGGGUAAAGGCUCACCAAGCCAACGAUCUGUAGCUGGUCUGAGAGGACGACCAGCCACACUGGGACUGAGACACGGCCCAGACUCCUACGGGAGGCAGCAGUGGGGAAUUUUGGACAAUGGGCGCAAGCCUGAUCCAGCGAUGCCGCGUGCAGGAAGAGGGCCUUCGGGUUGUAAACUGCUUUUGUACGGAACGAAACGGUCUUGGUUAAUACCUCGGGCUAAUGACGGUACCGUAAGAAUAAGCACCGGCUAACUACGUGCCAGCAGCCGCCGUAAAAC
rnacentral:rRNA from 1 species